ACAAGUUUGAGAAUCCUCAUUUUUAUGAAAUAGAGGAUCAUAAAUAUUGCUUAUCAGAAGACAAAGCAAAAAAACAAGGGAGCAUGAAUCCUCAUCGCUAAAGAAG